GAAGAGAUCACUGAACAAACAAGCAAUUGCACCAGUGAUGAAAUUUUGGUUUUAUAAAUGGUGUUACACUUUCAAUUUGCUUGAUUCUUUUCAUCGAAAAGUUAGCUGUAUUUCAGAAGAUUUGGCAGAAGACCAGCUAGCCCCCAAGGCGAUAUUUUUAUCAAAUUUGAUAGAGCAUUUUAAUACAGAGGAUACUUUUGCGAACGCGGCAUGAAAAUUUCAACAAGUAUGUGGACCACAAUGGAAGCUAAAAG